rnacentral:lncRNA from 1 species
UGUUUGGAACCUGGGAUUCAAAUGGCCUGGCAGGAAGUGCUCUAGCAGAGGGACUCUGGCCUUGCAAGAGUCCCUAUUUCCCCCUUUUUUUUUGCUUUUCACACAGUAAAACCCUGCUUUACUUCCCUUUGAGUCGUCUGUGAGCCUAAAUUUUUGUGGCUGUGGGAAGGACAAGAACCCCAUCUUUAGCUGAAAUAAGGAAAAGUUCCGCAACAUUUUUGGCACACACCCUGGGGGCUCCGGAAGUGGAAUGCUGUCGGAACUGGACCUUGAUGAAGGAAAUACUUUCUGACUCAUUGGAAUUUGUUAUAGUCAAAAUGUGCUCUUCUGAAAUCUACAGGUGUUUCCAGACCUAAGAAUAACAGGAACAUGGAGGAGUGGCAUCUCCAGUGUAGCCACCCACCAAAGCCUCAUCCUGAACACUAUGGCCUAGUGGGUCACUUACAGGGAUGUAGCUGGCAUUGAUGUAGUCAGAGCAAGGAUCAUCAUCUACAUUGGAGAGCUUCACUCGCGUGGCAUCAUCUGGAAGGAGAGAUUUGCUGCUGAGUCUUGGAGUGACUUUUCUACAGUUUAUGUGAUGUGUGUGAUGUGCCUUAGCUCUGAUCCCCACAACAGCCACAGAUGGGAAGUGAUCUUAUCUCCAUUUUGCAGAUGAGGCUCAGGCAGGAUAACUAACUUGCCCCAUGUUGCAUAGGUGGCCUAUAACCAGUCAGACACAGGAGACAACAUGAAGCCCCAUCUGUGCUUCCCUUUCUGACAUUACCACAUUUGCCUGAUGGAGUGGCCAGCUCCCUUUCACUGCUGGAAUGAAUACAAUCCAGAAAACCUACCUUCUAUUGCUUUACCUAAUGGGGUAAGGAAAUUUAAGUAGAAAUUGCUAACCGAAGACUUUGCUAAGCAAACCCAGGUCUGCUUGAUGUCAGAGCCCUUGCUGUUAACCCCAUUUACUGCUUAGCCUCCAAAGAGAAGCAAUAGCAUCACAUGGGGAAAUGUCAACAGCAUAAGAGGACUUUCAUAAUCAGAAUUUAAACUGGCUAUUAUCCCUCUGGAGGGAAGUGCAGGAAUAUACAAGCUAUUUCUUAUUAAAGGCAUUCAGAGCUUGAGAUUGUCCAUAUCGAGCUAUAUUAUAUUUCUUUAGCCUCAUUUCAUUUUUGGAGAAAAAUGCAGAAAUGGCUAGAGGAAGACAGUAUUACAAAUUUUGACACAAAACUUACAGGGCAAUAUAUUGUUGUAUCGAUUUUUCCCUCUAUUCUCCGGCAAGAGUGCAAUGUCACAUGACUGGUUUCGGCCCACGUCUUUUAACUCCUGUUAGGUCAAAUAUGAGUUUGUAAGUGGAGAAUAUGAAAUAGAAUAAAGCAAAUCAUACAGUCCUGGAGAUAACAUAAUAACAUGAAAAUAUAUACACUAGCUAUUGUUUAUGAAUGCCUAGUACUCAACAUGCAUUAGCCCUGAUCCCCACAACAGCCCCACAAGGGAGGUGGUGGUCUCACUAUUUUACAGGUGAGGCUCAGUCAGGAUAACUGAUGUGCCCCAGGUCACCCAAGUGGCAAACCUGAGAAUCAGUUCCAAAAGCUACGUGCUUUUUGCGAAACCACGGCAUCUUCCAGCCAAGCAAAUGGCCAGGCUGAAUAUCUGACAGCUUUAGGUCUGCAUUUGAGAUUUGUUAAUUCUUCCUUACUAUCUGAUCCAGGUAGCCCUUGGUUUGCUGUGUUAUUCUGGAGCUCAAGCUGGCCUCUAAGAUUAGAUGGUAUAUUCUAUUCAGGGCAUAGUUUAGGCAUAAAAGAGUGCUCAGCUGAGAUUCUAAGCAGCCUCCUAACUUCUGAGCUCAAUCAGCCUAUGAUGACACAGUAAACAUUAGGAAGGAAAUUCUGCUAAGAACUAGGGAUGCUGAAGCUUCAUUCUGCCUGAGUUGUACCUCGUAUUCCUUGGAUAGAAGGUAGUUGGAGUCAGCCUGUAGCUUCAUGAAAUGCCCUUCAAACUGAUUUAUUUUUAUUGGACUGUAAUUAAAAAUGAAACAAACAGAAAAGAGUUACUGCAGAAAAGGGAAAGUGCCAUAACUAUUCUGACUCAUAUUUCAAAGGCAGAUAAUAUAGUAAUUAAUGUGUUCUCUCUCUUACCAAGAAGUUUUCCGGUUACUGUGAAGAGAAGCCAAAAGAGGAAGACUUUGUUAGCAAAUUUCACAUAAUACCAUCUUUCAACAAAUUAUACGAAGGCAAAUGUGGUGCUUACCCUUUCUGGCCCAGGUUUAAGUGGACAGAUAAUGGUCGAUCCCUACGAAUGCUCAGACGGGCAGAGGGUCUUUCUCGACCAUGGCUGAAACAUAAGGGAGAUAACUUUUAUUCUGAUUAUGAUACUUGGCUUGAACAAAUUUUUCCAUUUAUGGUAAGGCUGUGGAUGUUUGUGCAAAUAUGGAUUUUUCAGUAUUCAUACAGAUUUGCACUCAGCCAACAUCUCUGAGGGAGGGAAAGGAAAGAGAAUAAAGUAGAUCAUUCCCACCCAGAAACGGAUCUCUGCAAAAACUGAAGAUUUGUCUCCUGGUUUUUGGCUACAGGUUAUAAUCACUUCCCACAUUCUCAAUAAAACUUUGCUUUAAAAAAAUCCAGUAAAUUUCAGAUGCCAGACACGACUUCAAUAAAGAGGAACAUGUGCCAAAUUAAGAAAAAAAAUUCACUAAGAGAAGAAGGCACGACACUUGGGGCCACAUGCUAUUUGGUUCUUUUUGGUCCCUUCUUAAAUUAGGAUGGCAGAUAUGAACUACAAAAUGGUGAUGUCAACCACACUUUUCAGGAUAUUUCAGAAAAGCACUUGGGCAUGCAAUUUGCAAACAUCUCUGUCUUCAUGAGGAUAUGAACCACACACACACACAAAAUAUUUUUUUCCUGUGCAAAAGGAGUCACUUCAUCUUUAAAUAAAGCUAUAGAUGGCCCCUCAGUCCUUUGGUAAGGGCUGAAUUCAUCAAUGGGAUAUAAAAGAGCUGAGAAAAGUGAGUCAUGGCUUUAGAGUUUGACUUGUUUUUAUUGAGAAAACAGUGACAAUUUAACCUGGAAAAAUUAAAUUAUUUUCCCUUCUUAGUUUUCAGCCUAAAGGGAAUUUUCAGUUGCAUUUUUAAAGUUGUGGGUCCAAUCACCAAAAGGAUCUUUGUACUUACCUCACUUUCUGUCUGCAGAUCAAUAAGGCAACAACAGCCACUAGCAUGCCAAUUAAAAACAGACCAGCACUCACACCUUCAAUAGCUCCAAACAAGGGCUCUACAAUAAUCCAGAUAGAAACAACAAACGCAGGUGGGAAAAUUAGUGCUAGGGAACCAGUAAGAAAGCUAUUGAAGCCAUAUCUCCCAAGUAAUGUUAUUACAAAUAGAAUUCAAGUGAUGCCCACGAUGAGGCAUUUACUUUCCAAAGGCUCUGAGUAUGCACCUAAGAAGAUGAUGAAAGGCUGGCUCCCACCCUGUAGCAGUGAGGCCAGGUGUCACUGCAUACUUUUGAAGUUAAUGUUGCAUAGCUUAUAGAGGAAUUUUGGACUUUGCACUUGUAUAUAAAGCUUGGGGCACCUGAGAUAAAGGCCAUAAGUUUGCCACCAAGAUAAAAAUGCCAUUUCAUUUAUAUAAAACAUGUUACACAGCAUCUGGGGCUUUGGAAAAUCCAGUGGAUUGCUUGGAGCUAUUCUAAGAAGUCUUAUUUUUAUUAUCUGGUAUGGUAACGCUACUGGGAGUUUAUGAAGAGGUAAGAGUGGCCUCAUUUUUAAAAUAGCUUUAUUGAAAUAUCAUUCAUAUAGCAUGCAACUCACCCAUCUAAGUUGUACAAUUCAGUGGUCUUUAGUAUAGUCAAAGUUUUGCAAAUGUCACCACAAUCAAUUUUAAAACAUUUUCAUCACCCUCAAAAGAAACCGCGUACCUAUUAGCAGUCAGUCCCACUCCUCCCUCCCCGCGAUCCCUGGCAACCACUAAUCUACUUUCUGUGUCUGUGGAUUUGCCUAUUCUGGAUGUUUCAUAGAAAUGAAAUCAUAAAUCUGUGAUCUUUUGGGACUGGCUCCUUUCAUUUAGCAUAAUGUUUUCAAGGUUCAUCCAUGUUAUAGCAUAUACCAAGAUUUCAUUCCUUUUUAUGGUUGAAUAAUCGUCCAUUGUAUGGAUAUAUCACAUUUUGUUUAUCCAUUGAUGGACAUUUAAAUUGCUUCUACUUUUUGGCGAUUAUGAAUAAUGCUGCUAUGAACAUUCAUGUACAAGUUUCUAUGUGGACAUAUGUUUUCAUUUCUCCUGGGUAUAUACUGAGGAGUGAAAUUGCUGGGUCGUAUGGUAACUCUAGGUUUAAUAUUUCUAUAAACUGUUUUUCAAAGCAGUGACACCAUUUUACAUUCUCAUAAGCAGUGUAUGGAAGGUUCUGAUUUCUUCAUAUCCUCACUAACUCUUGUUACUGUCUUUUUGAUUAUAGCCAUGCUACUGGGUGUGAAGUGGUAUCUUCUUGUGAUUUUGAUUUGCAUUUCCCUAAUGAUUCAUGAUGUUGAGCAUCUUUUCAUGUGCUUAUUAGUCAACUGUAUAUCUUCUUUGGAGACAUGUCUAUUCAGAGCCUUUGCCCAUUUAAAUAUUGUGUAAUUUGGCUGGGCACGGUGGCUCAUACCUGUAAUCCCAGCAUUUUGGGAGGCUGAGGCAGGCAGAUCACGAAGCCAGGAGUUCGAGACCAGCCUGGCCAACAUGGUGAAACCUUGUCUCUACUAAAAAUACAAAAAUUAGCCGGGUGUGGUGGCGCAUGCCUGUAGUCCCAGCUACUGGGGAGGCUGAGGCAGGAGAAUUGCUUGAAUUUGGGAGGUGGAGGUUGCAUUGAGCCAAGGUGGCAUCACCGCACUACAGCCUGGGUGACAGAGCAAGACUCCGUCUUGAAAAAAAAAAAAUAUAUAUAUAUAUAUGGCCUGGCGUGGUGGCUUACGCCUGUAAUCCCAGCACUUUGGGAGGCCGAGACAGGUGGAUCACAAGGUCAGGAGAUCGAGAACAUCCUGGCCAACACGUGAAACCCUGUCUCUACUAAAAAUAUAAAAAAAUUAGCCAGGCGUGGUGGCGGGCGCCUGUAGUCCCUGCUACUUAGGAGGCUGAGGCAGGAGAAUGGCGUGAACCUGGGAGGCGGAGCUUGCAGCGAGCCGAGAUCGCACCACUGCACUCCAGCCUGGGCGACAGAGCGAGACUUUCUCAAAAAAAAGGAAAAAAAAAAAGGAAAAAAAUAUAUAUAUUACACUAUAUAUAUAGUGUAAUUUGUGUUUUUAUUAUUAAAUUGUGAGGUAAGAGUUCUUUAUAUGCUAUUCAGCCCUUAUCAGAUAUGUGAUUUGGAAAAUAAAUAUUUUCUUCCU